rnacentral:rRNA from 1 species
AUGAGGGAAGCCUCGAGGAGGUGCGUCCGCCAGAGCACCUGGUCCAUGGGGCUGACGUUGCCGAUCUUGUGGCCCCUGUUCUGGAUCCUGACGAUGGCGGCGACGCUGGACAUGAGGAUGACGGAGAGCGUGCAGGCGAGGGUCUUGACGGUGGCGGGGCCCUUGCCGGUCUUGACCUGCUCCACGCCCCGCAUCGCCAGCUCCCGCAGCGGCCCGAUCUUGACCAUGAGCAGCAGCGCCACCGCGCCCUCCGCGAACAGCACCAGGAACAGCAGCGGGAUCAUGGCCCCCUUUUCCGCCUCUCCGACCGACCGACCGACCGGAUGCCGGGUCUCCUUGGAUUCCGCCCGGGGACUUAAGGAACGACCCCUUCGCUCCACGGCGCGAGGAUUAAUUGGCGGAGGUCGGUCCGCCGCGCGAGUACGGCGGGCGGUCGUUUUCCGGCGGAGGAAAAAGAUGGCGAAUUUGGUCGGCGGGGAGAUUCAGUUCCAAGGCGGACAGGAACCCACCACCUUUCCUUCGCCAAUCUGA